rnacentral:rRNA from 1 species
AGAGUUUGAUCCUGGCUCAGAACGAACACUGGCGGCAUGGAUUAGGCAUGCAAGUCGAACGAGAAAGCUCCCUUCGGGGAGUGAGUACAGUGGCGAACGGGUGAGUAACGCGUGGGAAACCUGCCCUUCUGCGGGGGAUAACAGUUCUAACGAGCUGCUAAUACCGCAUAAGACCUUUGAUCCGCAUGUUUCAAAGGUGAAAGAUGGCCUCUCUUUGAAGCUGUCACGGAAGGAUGGUCCCGCGUCCCAUUAGCUUGUUGGUGGGGUAAUGGCCUACCAAGGCGACGAUGGGUAGCCGGCCUGAGAGGGUGUCCGGCCACACUGGGACUGAGAUACGGCCCAGACUCCUACGGGAGGCAGCAGUCGAGAAGCUUCGGCAAUGGGCGAAAGCCUGACCGAGCGAUGCCGCGUGAGCGAAGAAGGCCCUAUGGGUUGUAAAGCUCUGUCAGAUUGGGAAGAAAGCUUCGGGGUUAAUACCCCCGAAGUGUGACGGUACCAUCAGAGGAAGCACCGGCUAACUCCGUGCCAGCAGCCGCGGUAAUACGGAGGGUGCAAGCGUUGUUCGGAUUCACUGGGUAUAAAGGGUGCGCAGGCGGCCCGAUGAGUCAGGGGUGAAAUAUGACGGCUCAACCGUCAAACUGCCCCUGAAACUGUCAGGCUUGAGUCCAGGAGAGGUAGGUGGAAUUCCAGGUGUAGCGGUGAAAUGCGUAAAUAUCUGGAGGAACACCGGUGGCGAAGGCGGCCUACUGGCCUGGAACUGACGCUCAGGCACGAAAGCUAGGGGAGCGAACGGGAUUAGAUACCCCGGUAGUCCUAGCCGUAAACGAUGGGCACUAGGUGUUGGAGGAGUCUACCCCUUCAGUGCCGCAGCUAAUGCAUUAAGUGCCCCACCUGGGGAGUACGAUCGCAAGGUUGAAACUCAAAGGAAUUGACGGGGGCCCGCACAAGCGGUGGAGCAUGUGGUUUAAUUCGAUGCAACGCGAAGAACCUUACCUGGGCUUGACAUGCAGGGGACAGGUGUAGAAAUACACCCUUCUUCGGACUCCUGUACAGGUGCUGCACGGCUGUCGUCAGCUCGUGUCGUGAAAUGUUGGGUUAAGUCCCGCAACGAGCGCAACCCCUGUCUUCAGUUGCCAUCAGGUUAUGCUGGGGACUCUGGAGAGACUGCCGGUGACAAACCGGAGGAAGGUGGGGACGACGUCAAGUCAUCAUGGCCCUUACGCCCAGGGCUACACAC